CACAUCUAAAGCUGAUGAAGAGUGACAGCUACACACGUUACCUCGCGUCCAACGCUUACCAGGAGCUGCUGAUGGCCUGGAAGAAGCCUGAGACAGAGCAGCAGCAGGGAAGACGCACCUCUCUGGAGAAGUUUACACGCAGCGUGGGCAAGUCACUGACGGGCAAACGGCUGACGGCCUGAUGCCGUCGUCCUGACCAGGCCUGGGGCUAGAGUAAGACAGCCAUGCCCAGAGGAGCUGCUCUGCUGUGGGAGAGGGCUGGAUGUUGAUGCUGAGAGGCCUAACUGGGGCCUGGACACAACGUCACCUACAUAACUGACUCCAGAUCAGUUCCCUGAGCUCCAGUGGAGGACAGACAGCAUGCAAUAGGUCACCUAGAUCUGAUACGGGGACAGUGCUGUCUUUGUCUGUUCUCAAAUGUCACUCUAUUCCCUAUAUAGUGUACUACUUUUGACCAGAGCCCUAUUUUGACUAGUUUGUCCGUAGGGCUCUGGUCGAAAGUAGUGCACUAUAAAGGGAAUAGGUUACCAUUUGGGAGGUACAUAUUGUGUAGUUUAUCGACAUAUAACUCUGCCUGCUACUCUGCCUGCUCUCUGUCUCACUUAGGUUCCUUUAAUCGAUUCUAGAACCAAAUGGAAUGUCAUAUAACUCUAUCCGCUACUCUCUGUCUCACUUAGGUUCCUUUAAUCGAUUCUAGAACCAAAUGGAAUGUCAUAUAACUCUAUCCGCUACUCUCUGUCUCACUUAGGUUCCUUUAAUCGAUUCUAGAACCAAAUGGAAUGUCAUAUAACUCUAUCCCUA